CCUUAAUAGCGGCUGCACCAUUAGGAUGUCCUGAUCCAACAUCGAGGUCGUAAACCCCCUCGUCGAUAGGGACUCUGGGAGAGGAUUGCGCUGUUAUCCCUAGGGUAACUCGGUCCGUUGAUCGGCGUUCGCCGGAUCAUUUUUGGUCAGAAAUUCUGGUACUUAGAGUUGUGGCUCUUGGUUGUGGGGGCAGUGCCCCCAGUCCACAUGGGGGCUUUGUUUUCCCCCGCGGUCGCCCCAACCAAAGACAUAGGGGCUAGGGGUCACUGUGUUUUUACCUGUUAAUUUAAGGUUACUUGACGUGAUCUGCCUGGUGUCUAAAGCUCCAUAGGGUCUUCUCGUCUUAUGUGUUUAUGCCCGCUUCUGCACGGG
rnacentral:rRNA from 1 species